ensembl:lncRNA
GUCUAUAAAUGUAUGUUCUAACAAAGAGGAUCUGUGCUAAGUUGAUAAACCGGAAUUUGAGCCCUAGACUCAAAGUAAGCAUUGAGGUCAGUCGAUCUAAAUUUGGGUUGGAUAAUUUAUCAAAUGUUUUAGUUGUGAUUGGGAUACAGCAAGAGAGAAUUGCGAAAGCACGAUGAGGGGUGGGGGCUCUGCCAACAUUUAUUUGGAAGAGAGGGUCUCCAGAAACGUAUCUCUAAGUGUCAUCCUGAGGGGAAGUGGUUUGUUUGGGGGAAUCACUGGAUCAUAGCUUGGGACAACCAUGAAAGUUUUUUUUGUUUUACCCUGUAUUCAGAAUUGUUAUGUUACAUUGCAUCAAUGAGUGGUGCUAAGUUAUUAAACAUGUACUUUGUUUCUCUUUUCUUUUCAAGUCAAUAUGUUUUUAGGUUUGGUGGAACAUGAGUGUUCAUUGUUCCAGAGGAGGGAAUGAUGUAUAUUGACUAACUGAUUUCAGAACGUGUUAGUACGUUUAUAACUGUAGAAAAUGCAUAAGAAGUAUAGUGUGUUAUGGGUUAGAUGUAAUGAUAGAGGAGUAUCAUUCCCAGAGACUGAAUAUUGAUAUAGGAGAAGCUCAUAGAAGAGGGAUAGCAGAUAGCUGUACACAAUAUGGGGAUUUAGUUUAACAUUAUGGUAAGAGUAGAAGAGAUAGUGGUGGCAAUUCAGACACUAUGUUAAACUUUCAGGACGGACACCUGUGACUCAGAGUUUUGUUCGGUUGGAUAUUAAUGAAUUAAUUCCAAUUUCUAACAGCCGGGCAACAUUUGACAGAUUACACGCAAGAGGUAUUCUCACGGCAGUCGCUGUAGGGACAGUAACGGAAGGAGCUGUAGGGACAGUAACGGAAGGAGCUGUAGGGACAGUAACGGAAGGAGCUGUAGGGACAGUAACUGAUGGGACAGUAACGGAAGGAGCGACAGUAACGGAUGGAGCUGUAGGGACAGUAACUGAAGGAGCUGUAGGGACAGUAACGGAAAGCUCUGUAGGGACCGUAACGGAAGGAGCUGUAGGGACAGUAACGGAAGGAGCUGUAGGGACAGUAACGGAAGGAGCUGUAGGGACAGUAACGGAAGGAGCUGUAGGGACAGCAACGGAAGGAGCUGUAGGGAAAGUAACGGAAGGAGCUGUAGGCACAGUAACGGAAAGAGCUGUAGGGACAGUAACGGAAGGAGCAGUAUUAGUAGCGAAGGAUGCUUAUUGACAGCAUGGAAUUGGGCCACUGCGCAAAUGAGGGGUAUUAUGAGACUAUAGUCGAGGGCCAUGUUGGAAAUAGCAAUGGUUACUAAGUAGCAAUGGUUACUUUAGUAGCAUUGUUGGGAUAUCAGUUUAUGACGACUCAUGUCACAUGGACUGGUAACUGGGGGACCAUGGGAGGACAGGUGAUGCGGUUAUUCAAAUAUCACAAAUGAUGUUGUCAGGAAAUGACCCAUGUGUUGCAGUGUGUGUAUAUCCUCAGGUGAAAGCAGAGAUAUAACCAAUGGCACAGGCUGAACACUGGAGAAUGAGUGUACAUCAAGAGACACCAGGCCGGGGAGUUGGGACAGCGUUGGUUUUGGACACACACUACUCCGUACAGUACCUGCAGUGGUAAAGAUUGUUAUGUGUCUCGUCAUGUGAAGUGAGGUUCAACUGCAUAAUGGGUGAGUGAAAAUACCAUGAUAGAGGAAGCGGAGCGAGAGAGACUAGAUUCCAUUGUAAGACAUACAGAUGGGUUGAGUCUGGGAGCUACUUUACACAUCAUAGUUGGGUUGGGUUAGAUGUUUUAUUGGUUAAUGCAUCAUAUGAUAGAGUCGUAAUUGUACUCUGAACAAAAUGUUGAAGGCAUUGAUGUGAAAGCAGAUACAGUGCUGAGUUACCUCAAGAGGAUGUAAUGUUGAUUAGGGAUACACACUUGCAUAUCAGGUGACGUGCCUAUCAGGUGAAAUGGAGGAGAUGGGGAACAAAGUGAAAAUGACAUGACUUGGGAACACCUCUCGGAACCGGGGGCCGAAAGGGGUAGACUGGGCGUAAGCAUGAGGAAGCUUUUUAGAGCUUUCAUUUUUGUGGAACUCUGCAGGAAAGUAUCUGGGAGGCAUAGAGUCGGGUGAAGAGAGAGUGGGAAUUGUCAGGGUCUCAGACUUUGGUUUUCAAGCAUAUAUAAUUAUGCAUAGCUUAUCACAUUGUUAAUACUGUUAUGUUUUGUGUGCCUUUUUGUUGCUUUCCAAGUCUUGUGCUCUGACUCUCUUAGGAACCAGACGGGGGAAGUAGAGAAUCUAAAAGCUGCUCCAUAUGACAUAUAACAAGACCGCAGAUUCAACUGGAAUGGAAUUUUGUUAUGUGUGAAAGAUGGAAAUAAAAGAUAGAUGGAAAUAAGAGGCCAUAAGUCUGAACUUGUAAACCUUGCGGUGAAUGUUUGUUCAUUGUUUGUUCCAUUUGUUUGUUUAAUUCAUGUUUUAUUGACAUUUUUUAUCCAUUUAUUAGUCAUUUCCAAGUUUAUAUAAAUGGCGUGGCUUUGGAAUAUGUUGGGGGAUGGGAGGAGAGCACUGUGUUGAUACAGGAAAGACAGAUGGACAUCUGUGGAUUAGGUUGAGGUCAGGAGGUGAGGUCAGAUCCCCUUAAGGGAGUAAUAAGGGUUAGGUAUCCUGUUAACCUUUUCCUGUUGAACCAUAAAAUAUAAGGAUUGGAGAGAAGGAGGAGUGUCUUAAGUGGCAUGUAUAUAACUGUGAUGGUGAGAAAUGUUUUGCUGUCUGAAUUACAGCUGUACAGAACCUUUGGGCAGAAUUCAACUUGGCUAAAGCUUCUCUAGUGUCCGUGAGUUAUUGACUCUGAAAAAUAAGAACCUAACACAUGAAACAUCAAUGCUUAUCUGUAUUUUGCACAUAUUCAUCCUCAUGAGGACCCUGGUCCUGAUCUGCCUCAGAGGACUGGACAACUAGACAAGCUGAUCUGCAUGGUUUACCAACAUUGGAUUAAAACAAGCUUAUAUAUUGGGUUCUGAUGGGGUACAGCAGUUGAACUAAGCUCAUGAGGAAUUUAUAAACACAUAUAAUUCAUAAGUUUUAAAAAAACAAUGUAACAACUAAGGAUUCUAGCUUGUAAAUAGAAACAUUGAUGGUGUACCUUGAGUUAAAUCCUUCACUUUCUAGGGAGGAAUUUGAACCUCCCCUUGCCUUCUUUCACAGCCUCAACCUGAGGAGGACUGGUAUCAUUAUGGGCCUUAUUGACAGAGAUGUUGGCUCCAACUCAUCUUUUCAGGUCUGCUGAUUUGAGGGAGGACUUGACACUAAAUAAUAUAUAUUUUUAAAGCCUGUGCACAAUAAUUUUGGAUGUAAUAAACUACUUUAAUGCAAAAAUAUUUUAAACACAUCUACAAAUAUAUUUGUUGUCGGCCUAAACAUUAUAGUUAUUGCACAAUGUCAAAAACCAAGUAAACAUGUUUUAAAGCCUGUUACAGUCAUUUCUGUUUAACAAACUGAUGUACAUUAAAAAAAAUAUAAAAAAAUAAAAUGAGUAUGUUGUGAAUUAAAGUGGUGAACAGUUUAGCAGUAAACAAGAGAAACGCUUUAAUGCACCACUAUUGGCUCUCUAUCUCCCUCCUGUGGUUAAUGAUAUAUAGAUUCAACAGUAUCUCAUAAAUUGUUUGCACUUGUAGCGUUUAAUACUCAGCAUGUGUGUCUCCUUAAUAUGUUUGUACAGCGCUGAUGAAGGCCAAAACCUAUGCAGACAAUUGUAAUUUAUUUAUAGCCACUUUGCACUUUCAAUUUCUUUCCCGA